rnacentral:lncRNA from 1 species
AAGCCACUUCCUCACCCUAAACGAAGCGGAACAUUGAGGAUGCAACCUCACUUCCUUGGUAUUAGAACCCAGCGAAACUGGGUGCCCUUCUGAAGCUGUCUCCCAUCCUGACCCCUUGGAGGGAGACAGAGAAGAGGGGAGGAUGAGCUGUUGCUCUUUUCCCACAGAAAGGACCGCAAUCCGAGAUUUUUCCGACCUUGGCUCGGCUCUGGCCGCAGAUGUUUCCGGCUAAUGUUCAGGAGGAACCCACAUGUGAGAGAGGCAGUGCAGUGCCCGUCCUGGACGUCCGCGCCAGCCGUGACCUCUCAUGGGCAGUGCUUCCCCUCGCGCUCAGGGUAUGUAAGGGGCCUGCUUGGACAGGGUCAGGCUGUGAGGUGUCAGAGCUCUGUCCCGCCGCCCCAACCCCCCGCAGCCCCCACUUCAUGGCUGGAGGUACAGCAAACAUUGCGGACUGCUAGGGUACAGAUUGUUUUGGACUACUUUGCUUGGAGCCCAGCCCCGAGCGCUCAGGUGCAUGGAGUUUUGUGCCUGCCUCGCUCAGAAAGGAUCAUCAGUGUGAAGUGGAAACCCAUGUUAGCAUUAGCCUAGUGGGACAAAGUCAGCCAAGGCUAGGGCAGUCACAGAGGGCUUGGGGUGGGGUCAGCUUUCCUCUACACUGAGGGAUGGAGGACCACACAAGACAUGACGCUGUCUCAGAGAGGCAGGGUGGAAGAAAAGCCCGGGCCUCUGACUCUGCUGCUCACUCGUCUCUCCCCGGCGCCACCUCUCCCAUUUUGGAAACCUGGUCCGAAUGGCACCAUCCACCGGGCAUUCCCCAAAUCAAGAUCAAAAGGGCCGGCUUGCAAGUGAACUCACCUGGAGCAGACAUGGAGCCUCCCUUGUGCCUUCCCCUUGCUCAGGUGGAAUAUCUAGAGCCCUACGAGGCUGAAACAGAUGCUCCGGCUCCAUGUCCAGAACACCAUGGGCCUGCUCUGCAGCCAGAGCCAGCACCAGACAAGGAGCCUCCUCUGGAGACAGGAGAGAAGCAGAAGCCAGCUCCACAGCACUCCUGCCUCUCUGCUGCCGCUGACGAGGACAGGCCCUUGCAGAAGGUGCGCUUAGCCUUCUCUCCCAAGCUGCUGGCAGAGCAGCUGACCUUGAUGGGUUCGGUGAGCAGCUGAGCUCGGUGGGCUGGGGUGGGGUGAGGGCCAGCCAUCCUUCUCACA